rnacentral:rRNA from 1 species
UACGAAGGGGGGCUAGCGUUGCUCGGAAUCACUGGGCGUAAAGGGCGCGUAGGCGGCGUUUUUAAGUCGGGGGUGAAAGCCUGUGGCUCAACCACAGAAUGGCCUUCGAUACUGGGACGCUUGAGUAUGGUAGAGGUUGGUGGAACUGCGAGUGUAGAGGUGAAAUUCGUAGAUAUUCGCAAGAACACCAGUGGCGAAGGCGGCCAACUGGACCAACACUGACGCUGAGGCGCGAAAGCGUGGGGAGCAAACAGG